ACAUCUCACUACUUUAUUAUUUUGCCUUUGUUGUUUUGAGGUAACUGUUGGUGGGUAUACUGCUCAAGCUAAGCUGUUAAAACUGCCUCGAGCCCAGCACGUCUCAAAGACAGCUUAAAACUUGUUAGUACAGGUAGUUUAGGUUUCUAUCCUCCUUCUAAGAGUAUAGAGCAUUUGUUAAUUCUGAUCUUAUUAAUUGGCCAAACACAGUGAAACGUGGAUUGUCCUCACUGGCUUCACUGACAGACCAUAUAUUUCAGCUGUUUUCUCCACGGGCGUUGAGUGUUUGUAUACAUCUCCAGUGUUUAUAAAUAUUUGAAAUUGUUUAUGCUUUGGGGAUGAUUGUUUUCAAAUAUAUAUAUGAAUGUUUAUAAAUAUUGAAAAUUGACAAACAUUCAUGAUAGAGUGGCUGAGUUUUAGGUUUCUACCCUCCUUCUAAGAGUACAGAGCAUUUGUUAAUUCUGACCCUAUUAAGUGGCCAAACACAGUGAAACGUGGAUUGUGACACGCUGGUUUCACUGACAGACCAUUUAUUUCAGUAUUCUCCACGGGCGUUUAUAGUGUUUGUAUACAUCUCCAGUGUUUAUGAAUAUUUGAAAUUGUUUAUGCUUUGGGGAUGAUUGUUUUCAAAUAUAUAUAUGAAUGUUUAUAAAUAUUGAAAAUUGACAAACAUUCACAAUAGAGUGGCUGAGUUUAAGGUUUCUAUUCUCUCAUUUAAGAGUACAGAGCAUUUGUUAAUACUGAGCUUAUUAAUUGGCCAAACACAGUGAAACGUGGAUUGUGACUCGCUGGCUUCACUGAGAGACCAUUUAUUUCAGUAUUCUCUAUGGCCGUUGAGUGUUUGUAUACAUCGUCAGUGUUUAUAAAUAUUUGAAGUUGUUUAUGCCUUGGGGAUGAUUGUUUUCAAAUAUAUAUAUGAAUGUUUAUAAAUAUUGAAAAUUGACAAACAUUUAUGAUAGAGUGGCUGAGUUUUAGGUUUCUACCCUCCUUCUAAGAGUACAGAGCAUUUGUUAAUUCUGACCCUAUUAAGUGGCCAAACACAGUGAAACGUGGAUUGUGACUCGCUGGCUUCACUGAGAGACCAUUUAUUUCAGUAUUCUCCUAGGGUGUUGAGUGUUUACAUACAUCUUCAGUGUUUAUAAAUAUUUGAAGUUGUUUAUGCUUUGGGGAUGAUUGUUUUCAAAUAUAUAUAUGAAUGUUUAUAAAUAUUGAAAAUUUAACAAACAUUUAUGAUAGAGUGGCUGAGUUUUAGGUUUCUACCCUCCUUCUAAGAGUACAGAGCAUUUGUUAAUUCUGACCCUAUCAAGUGGCCAAACACAGUGAAACGUGGAUUGUGACUCGCUGGCUUCACUGAGAGACCAUUUAUUUCAGUAUUCUCCUAGGGUGUUGAGUGUUUGCAUACAUCUUCAGUGUUUAUAAAUAUUUGAAAGUGUUUAUCCUUUGGGGAUGAUUGUUUUCAAAUAUAUAUGAAUGUUUAUAAAUAUUGAAAAUUGACAAACAUUCAUGAUAGAGUGGCUGAGUUUAAGGUUUCUACUCUCCCAUUUAAGAGUACAGAGCAUUUGUUAAUACUGAGCUUAUUAAUUGGCCAAACACAGUGAAACGUGGAUUGUGACUCGCUGGCUUCACUGAGAGACCAUUUAUUUCAGUAUUCUCUAUGGCCGUUGAGUGUUUGUAUACAUCGUCAGUGUUUAUAAAUAUUUGAAGUUGUUUAUGCUUUGGGGAUGAUUGUUUUCAAAUAUAUAUAUGAAUGUUUAUAAAUAUUGAAAAUUUGACAAACAUUCAUUAUAGAGUGGCUGAGCUUUAGGUUUCUACCCUCCUUCUAAGAGUACAGAGCAUUUGUUAAUUCUGACCCUAUCAAGUGGCCAAACACAGUGAAACGUGGAUUGUGACUCGCUGGCUUCACUGAGAGACCAUUUAUUUCAGUAUUCUCUAUGGCCGUUGAGUGUUUGUAUACAUCGUCAGUGUUUAUAAAUAUUUGAAGUUGUUUAUGCCUUGGGGAUGAUUGUUUUCAAAUAUAUAUAUGAAUGUUUAUAAAUAUUGAAAAUUGACAAACAUUUAUGAUAGAGUGGCUGAGUUUUAGGUUUCUACCCUCCUUCUAAGAGUACAGAGCAUUUGUUAAUUCUGACCCUAUUAAGUGGCCAAACACAGUGAAACGUGGAUUGUGACUCGCUGGCUUCACUGAGAGACCAUUUAUUUCAGUAUUCUCUAUGGCCGUUGAGUGUUUGUAUACAUCGUCAGUGUUUAUAAAUAUUUGAAGUUGUUUAUGCCUUGGGGAUGAUUGUUUUCAAAUAUAUAUAUGAAUGUUUAUAAAUAUUGAAAAUUGACAAACAUUUAUGAUAGAGUGGCUGAGUUUUAGGUUUCUACCCUCCUUCUAAGAGUACAGAGCAUUUGUUAAUUCUGACCCUAUUAAGUGGCCAAACACAGUGAAACGUGGAUUGUGACUCGCUGGCUUCACUGAGAGACCAUUUAUUUCAGUAUUCUCCUAGGGUGUUGAGUGUUUACAUACAUCUUCAGUGUUUAUAAAUAUUUGAAGUUGUUUAUGCUUUGGGGAUGAUUGUUUUCAAAUAUAUAUAUGAAUGUUUAUAAAUAUUGAAAAUUUAACAAACAUUUAUGAUAGAGUGGCUGAGUUUUAGGUUUCUACCCUCCUUCUAAGAGUACAGAGCAU